CUACAGGGGUAUCUAAUCCUGUUUGCUCCCCACGCUUUCAUUGUUCAUGAGGCGUUAGUGUUAUCCCAGGAGGCUGCCUUCGCCAUCGGUGUUCCUCCGCAUAUCUACGCAUUUCACUGCUACACGCGGAAUUCCACCUCCUCUGACACUCUAGCUCGGUGAGCAAAAAUGGUUCAAAAUUAAGCUCUGGAUUUCACAUCUUUCUUUCCGAACCGCCUGCGCGCUGCGCCGUAUAUUCCGUUAACAACUUUGUACCACCAUAAUGUCCUGCAGCUGCUAUGGCGUAGUUAGCCGGUGCUUGUUGCCAGGUACCGUCAGUUGCGAGGUCUUAUCCAUGCGGCGUUUCUUUCUCUUAAGUGCACCACAACCCGAAGGCCUUCAUCGCACACGGAUAUUGGAUCGAGUUCCCCCCAUUAAUCCAAAAUUCCCCACUGCUGCCUCCCAUGUA
rnacentral:misc_RNA from 1 species